rnacentral:misc_RNA from 1 species
UUGUAUGUUUGCAAUAUAAAUCCCAUCCUGAGCGUAUAUAAAAGGUGAGUUGGGCGGGUAGUAGGGCAGGCUGGCAAUGCUGCAGAUGACAUGGUGCAUGUACACACGUGUGCGUCCACACCCACCAUCAUCUGCAUACCACCCACCUACACCACCCCACCCCACACUACCCUCUCGUUCCCACAUCGUGUAUGCGAUUUUGUUAAUGAUCCUUCCGCAGGUUCACCUACGGAAA